rnacentral:rRNA from 1 species
AGUGAACGCUGGCGGUAGGCCUAACACAUGCAAGUCGAACGGCAGCACAGUAAGAGCUUGCUCUUACGGGUGGCGAGUGGCGGACGGGUGAGGAAUACAUCGGAAUCUACUUUUUCGUGGGGGAUAACGUAGGGAAACUUACGCUAUUACCCCAUCCGCCUACCGGUUGAAGCCAGGGGUCCUUCGGACUUGGGCGGUUGAAUUGGGCGAUGUUGGAUUUGCUAGUUGGCGGGGUAAGGGCCCAACAAGGCGACGAUCCGUAGCUGGUCUGAGAGGAUGAUCAGCCACACUGGAACUGAGACACGGUCCAGACUCCUACGGGAGGCAGCAGUGGGGAAUAUUGGACAAUGGGCGCAAGCCUGAUCCAGCCAUACCGCGUGGGUGAAGAAGGCCUUCGGGUUGUAAAGCCCUUUUGUUGGGAAAGAAAAGCAGCAGGUUAAUACCCCGCUGUUCUGACGGUACCCAAAGAAUAAGCACCGGCUAACUUCGUG